GGUUUUGCCAUGUUGCCUAGACUGGUCUCAAACUCCUGAGCUCAAGUGAUUCGCCUGCCUCAGCCUCCCAAAGUGGGAUUACUGGCUAAGCCACCAUGCCCAACCAACCUUAUUGUAUUUGCUAACCACUUACACUAAAAGUGAUGAUGUGAAAGGAAAAGGAAAGAUAUUUGCAACCAUUCUCCCAAUCAAUUUUAGAAAAUUUCCACCACCUCAAAAAGAAACCCUUGGAGACGAGGUUUCGCUGUGUUGGCCAGCUGGUCUUGAACUCUUGACGUUAUGUGAUCCACCCACCUCGGCUUCCUAGAGUGCUGUGAUUACAGAUGUGAGCCACCGUGCACAGCCACCAAUAUCUUUCUUUAAAGCCUGUGAAAACCCUGAGCAUUGGCGAAGUAAAUGUAAAACUUCUUUGAAGGAACAUCUUCAAUCCAGAUAGAAUUACCGCCAAUAGAAUCCUGCUGCUGAAGAUUUCAUAAUACAAAAUUGCAAAAUGCAUAAGAAAACAAUAUGCCACAAUUGAGAGUCAGCAUACAUGAUAAGCUUUAGUAAUAUACUAUCAAAAACAUAAAAGAACUAUUGAAUAGUAAAAUAAAUAUGCAUGAAAUGGUUAAGUAUAUAAACAGGAAAUCCAAAGCAUGAGAGAAAAAAACACUAUCAAAAAGACCAAGAAAAUUUAAAAAAGAAAUAAAAACAACCAAAUUGAACUUUUAGAAAUAAAAAAAAAUGUAGUCAUUGAUAUUAAAAACUCAGUAGACAGAUUGAAAAGAUUUGACUCAGCUGAAGAUGGAAUUAACACACUGGAAGAUAGAUCUGAUUGGAAAUGAAAUUGUGAUGCAGUUUCUUUUAUUAUGCCUUUGGACAUUGUACCUUACCCAUCUGGCCUCUUCUCUGAAGUGAAAGCCUGUUGCCUGUUUUGAGUUAGCAUCCCAUUCUCUGUUCUGCUGUAGUGUGCCGAUCUUCUAUUUCUGGCUCCCACUCCUCAUGAGUGAACCAUUUGCCAGAGAUAUUCCUACUUGUA